UUUUAUGUGUGGAUUUGUUAGGCGCAUCAACACAUGAUGUAGACAUCGUGCCCAAAAGAAGAGCGAGACGUAAUCCUGAGGCUGAAGCCACCGAGUUUAUUUGAUCUGGAUGUGACAAGUCUUGUUUUAAGGCCCAGUGGAUCAAUGAUUGGAAAGACACCAACUGUUGAUGUUCUAUCUCAACAUUCUCCAGAUUCAUGUGAGCGAUAAACCGACUUCAUCCCUCCAACAGACACCAACUGUUGGGGUUCUAUCUCAACAUUCUCCAGAUUCAGAUGUGAGCGAUAAACCGACUUCAUCCCUCCAACAGAAACCAACUGUUGAGGUUCCAUCUCAACAUUCUCCGGAUUCAGAUGUGAGCCAUUAACUGACUUCAUCCCUCCAACAGAAACCAACUGUUUGAGGUUCUAUCUCAACAUUCUCUAGAUUCAGAUGACAGCCAUAAACCGACUUCAUCCCUCCAACAGAUUGACAGCAGGACAAAUCGCUGGAAGUGGGUAUGUCUCAAGCUUCUUCCACUUGGUCCACUCCAAAGCGGGCUGCAAAGGGGAAGAAGUGGAAGCAGUUGAAUGACACAUGUUGCAUUUUGUAACUGGCAACAAAGUACCAGGUAAAAAAGAUUGUGAAGCCUGCCUCCAUAAAGAACUAGUAGCUCUACAGGACAGAGAUUGGCUUGCCAUCAAGUACUACAUCCAUAACAGAAUUAUAUUAAAAAAAGGGAAAAAAAAUGUUUUCCCACAUCUUCUGUGGUAGUUUGAGUAUGUUACCAGCAAUUAAAAAAGCAAAAUAAACAGCAA